rnacentral:rRNA from 1 species
AGGACGAACGCUGGCGGCGUGCUUAACACAUGCAAGUCGAGCGGAAAGGCCCUUCGGGGUACUCGAGCGGCGAACGGGUGAGUAACACGUGAGUAAUCUGCCCUUAGCUCUGGGAUAGCUCCGGGAAACCGGGAUUAAUACCAGAUAUGACCACUUUAGACAUCUUUUGUGGUGGAAAGAUUUCGGCUGGGGAUGAACUCGCGGCCUAUCAGCUUGUUGGUGAGGUAAUGGCUCACCAAGGCGACGACGGGUA